rnacentral:rRNA from 1 species
CCUACGGGUGGCAGCAGUGGGGAAUAUUGCACAAUGGGCGCAAGCCUGAUGCAGCGACGCCGCGAGAGCGAUGAAGGCCUUCGGGUCGUAAAGCUCUGUCCUAAGGGAAGAAUAAUGACGGUACCUUAGGAGGAAGCCCCGGCUAACUACGUGCCAGCAGCCGCGGUAAUACGUAGGGGGCGAGCGUUAUCCGGAAUCACUGGGCGUAAAGGGUGCGUAGGCGGCCCUGCAAGUCAGGAGUUAAGUCCCUCGGGUCAACCGAGGUUGGCUCUUGAAACUGUAGGGGUGGAGUGCAGGAGAGGAGAGCGGAAUUGCUAGUGUAGCGGUGUAAUGCGUAGAUAUUAGGAGGAACACCAGUGGCGAAGGCGGCUCUCUGGACUGCAACUGACGCUGAGGCACGAAAGCGUGGGGCGCGAACAGGAUUAGAUACCCGGGUAGUC